CCAAUUGAAUUUUUGUGGUGAUGAUGAAAGAUUGAGACAUAUUAUAUAUUGCAAAACAACUAAAAUGGUCCGUUGUUCGUGUCUCAUGUUUGAAUUCAAGGGCAUUCCGUGCCGACAUAUCUUGGCAUAUCUUAAAAUUACCAAUCAUAGUGAGUUACCGGAGUAAAAUAUUCUAAGAAGAUGGUGCCAAAAUGUUAGAAAAAGAGUUGUUUUUAGAGAUGGUAAUAUUAUUGGAGAUAAUGCCACAAUUAAUUUUGCUUCUCGUUUUAGUGAACUAAAUUGCUUAGCUAAUGAAAUGGUCGAAGAGGGGCUAUCUUCUAAUGAUGCAUAUGAAUUAAUGCGUGAAAUGAUGAUGGAUGCUAUUAAUAAGGUGCAACGUUUGAAACUCGUCAAUGAUGAAGAAAUUGGACAAGAUGUGGAAGGACAUUAUAUGAAUGCGGAGUGUUCUGAAGAUAUAGUUUAUGAACCAAGUCAAGCAAGAACAAAAGGAAGGCCUAAAGGGAAGAGGUUAAAGCCAUCGAGGGAGAUCCGUAAAUGCCGGCCUAGGAAAUGCAAUUUGUGUGGAAUGCGAGGACAAAAUCAUGAUACAAGAAAUUGCCCUCUAAAGUUGUCAAGAUAGUGUAUCAUUUGUUUUAGUAAUACUAAUGCUAUUAUUUUUUUAAACAUUUUCUUAAGUUGGUGCAAUGAUCUUUAAUAUGUCUUGCUAUCAUAAAUUUUUUUAGUGAUUCAAUGGAACAAGAUAAUAUUGAUGAAGCCAAUGAUGAUUUAGAAGAUUCCUUUGAGGAAGAUGAAGUUCUAACUAUUGUUUGAAGUUUGAUCAAGGUUGGCGGAGCAAAUCAUAUCACUAUUGAAAUGGGAAGCUACCUGGAAAUUUAGACUUGAAAUGUACUUUUGUUUUGAGUUGUUUGGUGUGCCUCCUAAGAAACAUAUAUGGUUUUGAGUUUAUUCUGUAAUAGAAGCUACUUGGAAAUUUAGACUUGAAAUGUACUAUUGUUCUUGGAAUUUCAU